rnacentral:rRNA from 1 species
UACGGAGGGUGCGAGCGUUGUCCGGAAUCACUGGGCGUAAAGGGCGCGUAGGCGGCCUGAUAAGUAGGGGGUGAAAUCCUGCGGCUUAACCGCAGGGCUGCCUUCUAAACUGUCAGGCUGGAGCACAGUAGAGGCAGGUGGAAUUCCCGGUGUAGCGGUGGAAUGCGUAGAGAUCGGGAAGAACAUCAGUGGCGAAGGCGGCCUGCUGGGCUGUUGCUGGACGCUGAGGCGCGACAGCGUGGGGAGCAAACAGG